AACAGUAGCUAAGAACUAAAUAAGAUUUUUUUUUUUUUUUAACUAAAUUAUGUCGAGUCCAAUUUUUUUUCAAAGUAAUUUAAAAUAUAAUAAUGGAAAUAAUAAAAAAAAACUUUUAUAACAGGUAUUUCGAAUGUCGUAAAUUCUACGGCGCAGCGUUGUCAACGCAGCAUCAAUCGCGUUUGAGUGGCAACUGCGUGGCAGGAGAAGACUUGAUCGUUUUGUACCCACUUGGCGACGUACCGUGGAAAGCGAGACGAGGACUGCCGGCAUGACCUGGAGUGAUGUCAAGGAGCAAGCGCAAGGCAGAGUCAAGACAACUUGUAAAGGCCCUAUAUAGCAGCGAGAUUACAUCGUGCUUCCGUGCGAAGAGCGCCGCUGGCGGAGGCAAGCCGCCGUCUAAUCAGACGCGCAUAACUCAAAUUCCUAAUUACCAAAACGAGUGCGCUCUCGUGUAUUAUAAGUGCCGUCGGCCAUCUAACCGAUUAUAAUCUUAUCUGUAAACCGAAAUCAGCGAUCUCGUAUUGUUGUUAUCGGUGUUAAGUUAACGGGGGGCGUUAAAAUUUAAUGUGACGCCUAUUUUAUUCGCAUCUAUGUUAUGGUUUUACGUAUCCAUGUUAACUUCGUACUUGAUUUUGAUAUGUAAGGAUGUUUAUGUAUGUGUGGUAGCUAUACUAUAGACAAAAUAGCUUUAGCGUUUUUUUUUUAAAGCUAAUAGAUACUUUUAUUAAAUUUCCACGCUAUUGACUACUUCGAAAUUUAACAAGAUGCAUAGGUAUUUUUAAAUAUUUGAAUAUAAUUAUUAUGAGAGGUAAAAUAAUAGAAUAUGAUAAGGCGGUUUUCAGUAGACAGUAUAUAAAUAUAAUAUAUAACUUUAUAUGUAAAUGAAAGAAACUAAGAUGUCAUGUAAAUUUGUAAGUGGUUAAUAUAAUGUUUUUCUAAAAGUGUAAAUAGAAAUGUAAAACACAGUGCAUUAACUUUAGCGUUAGCGGAAAAAAUCGCAUAUUAAAAUUUUGAUGUCUAUAGGCUCUGGUAACUAUUUAACACACGGUGGCUUAGCUUUCUUUGACCUAACUACAAAAAAAAAAGUUUUUGUUUUAGUAUGUUUACAUUUUUAAUUGAUGCGACGGUACUUGACAACAAUUCCGACGCAUACAAGGUCGUUGACUCCGCAUCAGCUGAUUCUCAUCCGCAUAUAGCGUGAAAACAUCAAUUUGUGAAUAUGAAAUUCACAAAACGUUGCGCAUUAAUAAUAAAAUGAAAUUUAAGAAACACGAGAUUAAGCCGUUAAAAUAAUUAUUAGUAAUUACGUGUACGACUUGUGUAGACCGAAAGAAAUGCAAUUGAAAUUGCAUGAGAUAGUUCCGUCACCUUAUUUUUGCAACCGUACUCCUCGCCACGGGACCAGAAUUCAUCCACACAAAGAAAAGUUAAUUCCUUCACUAGACCCAAAAAUCCUGAUGAUUCUUGGUAUCAAGAUUAUCGAUAAUCUUUUUUUUAAUUCUUUAGCAACAUAAUAAUAUUGUGUGGAAUAUAUUAUAUAUUAUUAUAUAAAAUUCAUAGUACGAACACGUUGUAUAAGCUAUUUAUCUCUAUAAAAGCCAUGUAGUAUUAAUAUCGAUUAAUAAAACUGUAAUAGAUUUUCAAACGAAGACAUUACACAAGAAUUUUUACAGCUUCAACUUCAUUAUUUAACAUUCUCGAAGGGUUAUAAAAAAAAAAUGUAUAAUAAAACUAUUAAAACAGGAUCAUGGUGUUAAUAAACAGACGUUUUAUUAAAUUUUAAUUAAAAUGAAACUGAACUUCAUUUUGCUCCUUGAA